GAGUGUACUGUUUAUACAGUAAGUUGAUUUUGCAUUUACCCAUUUGUUUCUCCAUAGCCACAUGUAGCCCGGCCAGUCCGGAAAGUGCACACAUUUGGGAAGAGAGCAAACUCCAUCAAGAGAGAUCCUAACUCUCCCGUUAUAAUGCGUGGCUGGCUUUAUAAGCAGGAUAGCUCUGGGCUCAAACUAUGGAAACGGCGCUGGUUUGUCCUUUCCAAUUACUGCCUCUUCUACUACCGAGGCUGAACAUCCAGGCAUGCGGACUUACUAUUUCAGUGCAGACACCCAGUUGGAUAUGAAUAGCUGGAUCAGGGCCAUGAACCAGUCAGCUGCUGCUGAGUGCAACUGUGGAAACCUCAACCAAGGGGGUCUCCACAGCCACUCAGUGUCUGCCCACACCAGCUUUGAGGACAUUCGGCUCCCACAGGGUGAUUGUGCCAAAAGCACCGAGUCACUAGAAGUUGCCCAUCUCUCAGAGAUCCAGGAGUCCCGGGCCUCCUCGUCCGAGAGCCUCCACCUGCCUGACAUCCAGACAGGAUCUCCUUGCCUUAAGAGGGCUUCUUUAUCCAGUUCGCUCAACGGGAGCUACUGCCGUGAAAAGAAAGAGCAGCCAGAAUUGAGGUAAGGAGAAGUAAAACCAGCUUCAUUGCUGUGGAUGCUGUAGAGGAGGGAUGUCUAACCUU
rnacentral:lncRNA from 1 species